rnacentral:rRNA from 1 species
AGAGUUUGAUCCUGGCUCAGAACGAACGCUGGCGGCGAGCCUCAUACAUGCAAGUCGAGCGCGAAAGUCCGCAAGGAUGAGUAAAGCGGCGCACGGGUGCGUAACACGUGGGUAAUCUACCUUCUGGAUUGGGAUAACCUGUCGAAAGACGGGCUAAUACCAAGUAAGUUUGCGGGAUCAUAAAGUUCCUGCAAAGAAAGCUGGCGCAAGCUAGCGCCGAAAGAUGAGCCUGCGCCCCAUUAGUUAGUUGGCAGGGUAACGGCCUACCAAGACUAUGAUGGGUACCUGGUCUGAGAGGAUGACCAGGCACACUGGAACUGAAACACGGUCCAGACUCCUACGGGAGGCAGCAGUAGGGAAUAUUGCGCAAUGGGGGAAACCCUGACGCAGCUACGCCGCGUGAGUGAAGAAGGCCUUCGGGUUGUAAAGCUCUGUCACCCGGGAAAAACAAGCAGUGGGGGAAAGUUCCAUUGCCCUGAUUGUACCGGGGGAGGAAGCACCGGCAAACUCUGUGCCAGCAGCCGCGGUAAUACAGAGGGUGCAAGCGUUGUUCGGAUUUACUGGGCGUAAAGCGUGCGUAGGCGGUAUUGAGAGUCAUAGGUGAAAUCCCCGGGCUUAACCCGGGAACUGCCCGUGAGACCUCAGUACUAGAGUGUGAGAGGGGAUAGUGGAAUUCCAAGUGUAGCGGUGAAAUGCGUAGAGAUUUGGAGGAACACCGGUGGCGCAGGCGGCUAUCUGGCUCACAACUGACGCUCAGGCACGAAAGCAUGGGUAGCAAACAGGAUUAGAUACCCUGGUAG